rnacentral:rRNA from 1 species
AUUGAACGCUGGCGGCAUGCCUUACACAUGCAAGUCGAAUGGCAGCACGGGAGCUUGCUCCUGGUGGCGAGUGGCGAACGGGUGAGUAAUACAUCGGAACGUACCCCUGAAGUGGGGGAUAACGUAGCGAAAGUUACGCUAAUACUGCAUAUUCUGUGAGCAGGAAAGAGGGGGAUCGCAAGACCUCUUGCUUUAGGAGCGGCCGAUGUCGGAUUAGCUAGUUGGUGAGGUAAAGGCUCACCAAGGCGACGAUCCGUAGCGGGUCUGAGAGGAUGAUCCGCCACACUGGGACUGAGACACGGCCCAGACUCCUACGGGAGGCAGCAGUGGGGAAUUUGGACAAUGGGCGCAAGCCUGAUCCAGCCAUGCCGCGUGAGUGAAGAA